rnacentral:rRNA from 1 species
UACGUAGGAGACGAGCGUUGUCCGGAAUUACUGGGCGUAAAGCGCGUGUAGGCGGAUGGGCAAGUCUGCUGUGAAAGCUCCUGGCUUAACCGGGAGUGGUCGGUGGAAACUGCCAAUCUGGAGGACGGUAGAGGUAGGUAGAAUUCCCGGUGUAGUGGUGAAAUGCGUAGAGAUCGGGAGGAACACCUGUGGCGAAGGCGGCCCCCUGGGCCGGCCCUGACACUGAGACGCGAAGGCGUGGGGAGCGAACGGG